UAAGGAAUAUUGGUCAAUGAGCGAAAGCUUGAACCAGCCAUGCCGCGUGCAGGAAGACUGCCCUAUGGGUUGUAAACUGCUUUUAUACGGGAAUAAACCCGGUUACGUGUAACCGGCUGAAUGUACUGUAAGAAUAAGGACUGGCUAACUCCGUGCCAGCAGCCGCGGUAAUACGGAGGAUCCAAGCGUUAUCCGGAUUUAUUGGGUUUAAAGGGUGCGUAGGCGGCCUUGCAAGUCAGAGGUGAAAGACGGUAGCUCAACUAUCGCAGUGCCUUUGAAACUGCCGGGCUUGAAUGUACUUGAGGUGGGCGGAAUGAGACAAGUAGCGGUGAAAUGCAUAGAUAUGUCUCAGAACCCCGAUUGCGAAGGCAGCUCACUAAGGUAUGAUUGACGCUGAUGCACGAAAGCGUGGGGAUCAAACAGG
rnacentral:rRNA from 2 species